GAUGUAGUGCAAUAUGUAAUAUGGCUAAAUUGUAGGGGUACAAUGAACAAUAUAAUGGCCUAACAUCGGCAUCAGCCAAUAUUUGCCUUGUUGACUGGUAUCGGCUUAUCUAUGGCAAUACAAUGGCAGUGGCUUGCGUAUAGUUCUUACAAUUUUCAUAUAGUUCAAUUCUUUUUAUAAUGAAUAGAUGAUAGCUUCAGCGAAAGUUCUACUAGGAAGACUCGUAGUGUAGCUUACUCCUCCCAUGCUUACACAGAGCCAAUCUGAGCUUUGCCUACUUUUGGGAAAGCCCUGCAAUCUGAUCAUUCACUCAUUCAAUCAGCGCUAGCCUAUAGGAAUUCAAUGGCUCUUUAAAUAUGUACCACCUAACACUGCUUCUGCUUCUCAGUAUGCUGACUUUGACGUCCUAGCUCAGGCUUCCGCGUGGACCUGGGCUCUCUGCAUUUUUACAUUCGCCCCUUCUGCCCUCAGUGGCGUUACUUGUUACAAUCCUACCGCGCUCGUUUGCUGCGCUGUUCAGACCUGUGCGUCCUUCAGUCAGGGCCACUGCAUGUCGCUUCAUCGCUAAUCUCUGCAUAUCGGAGCCAGUCACGCUCACGCUGUUGCAGCCUUCACUUCACGGUAACCUACUGCCGGGUCGCCGUCCUCGCGCAACUCUGUUGCAGGCCCAUGUCGUUUUCGGCAACGAUUUCUCAAGCUUCAGCGUCUGGUUGGUAAGGUUAUCGUGCUCUCUCUUCCCAAGCUCCUCGAGCUGGGCUACACUCUACCCACAGUCAUGCAACCUGCUUGCCAACGAUAUUCGGCGGGCAGCAAACAAACAGACUUGUCUGACACGGUUUAACUUUCACUUAAGCCUCCUUACAAUAAUUCCUGCUGAUUUUAUAAUCCCUGCGAUUUGUGCUGUUCAUUGCUAGCUGCACCACGCUGCCGUUGAACCCAACCCUGUAUUAAGACCUGUUUAAUUGAUGUUCUACACUCACUGUGGUUAUCUCGAUGUCUACCUUGGUUGAGCGUCGUCAAACCAGUUGUCUUUUUGUAAGAUUGGAAUAGCGUCGUUUAGGGAA